rnacentral:rRNA from 1 species
AGGACGAACGUUGGCGGCGUGCCUUACACAUGCAAGUCGAACGCGAACGGGAAAUUGGCUUGCCAAGGACCCUAGUAGAGUGGCGAACGGGAGCGUAACACGUGAGGAACCUGCCUUGGAGUGGGGAAUAACUUCGAGAAAUCGGAGCUAAUUCCGCAUGAUGCAGCGGCCCCGCAUGGGGACAGUUGUUAAAGACCGCCUCUGCUUGCAAGCGGUCGCUUCGAGAUGGUCUCGCGGCCUAUCAGCUAGUUGGUGAGGUAAUGGCUCACCAAGGCGACGACGGGUAGCCGGCCUGAGAGGGUGUCCGGCU